AUUAUACAGCGAAACUGCGAAUGGCUCAUUAUAUAAGUUAUCGUUUAUUUGAUAGUACCUUACUACUUGGAUAACCGUGGUAAUUCUAGAGCUAAUACAUGCUAAAAGACCCGACUUCGGAAGGGUUGUAUUUAUUAGAUUAAAAACCAAUGCCCUCUGGGCUCACUGGUGAAUCAUGAUAACUCUGCGAAUCGCAUGGCCUUGUGCCGGCGAUGGCUCAUUCAAAUUUCUUCCCUAUCAACUUUCGAUGUUUGGGUAGUGGCCUAACAUGGUUGCAACGGGUAACGGAGGGUUAGGGCUCGACCCCGGAGAAGGAGCCUGAGAAACGGCUACUACAUCCAAGGAAGGCAGCAGGCGCGCAAAUUACCCAAUCCCGACACGGGGAGGUAGUGACAAUAAAUACUGAUACAGGGCUCUUUUGGGUCUUGUAAUUGGAAUGAGUACAAUUUAAAUCCCUUAACGAGGAACAAUUAGAGGGCAAGUCUGGUGCCAGCAGCCGCGGUAAUUCCAGCUCUAAUAGCGUAUAUUAAAGUUGUUGUGGUUAAAAAGCUCGUAGUUGAACCUUGGGCCUGGCUGGCGGGUCCGCCUCACCGCGUGCACUUCGCCGGCCGGGCCUUUCCCUCUGUGGAACCCCAUGCCCUUCACUGGGUGUGGCGGGGAAACAGGACUUUUACUUUGAAAAAAUUAGAGUGCUCCAGGCAGGCCUAUGCUCGAAUACAUUAGCAUGGAAUAAUGAAAUAGGACGUGCGGUUCUAUUUUGUUGGUUUCUAGGACCGCCGUAAUGAUUAAUAGGGACAGUCGGGGGCAUCAGUAUUCAAUUGUCAGAGGUGAAAUUCUUGGAUUUAUUGAAGACUAACUACUGCGAAAGCAUUUGCCAAGGAUGUUUUCAUUAAUCAGGAACGAAAGUUAGGGGAUCGAAGACGAUCAGAUACCGUCGUAGUCUUAACCAUAAACUAUGCCGACUAGGGAUCGGACGAUGUUAUUACUUGACUCGUUCGGCACCUUACGAGAAAUCAAAGU
rnacentral:rRNA from 1 species